rnacentral:rRNA from 1 species
AGGACGAACGCUGGCGGCGUGCUUAACACAUGCAAGUCGAACGGUGAAGGCGGUGCUUGCACCGCCGGAUCAGUGGCGAACGGGUGAGUAACACGUGAGUAACCUGCCCCCGACUCUGGGAUAACCCCGGGAAACCGGAGCUAAUACCGGAUACGACCCACACAGGCAUCUACGUGGGUGGAAAGAUUUAUCGGUCAGGGAUGGACUCGCGGCCUAUCAGCUUGUUGGUGGGGUAAUGGCCCACCAAGGCGACGACGGGU